UACGAAGGGGGCUAGCGUUGCUCGGAAUCACUGGGCGUAAAGCGCGUGUAGGCGGCUUUGCAAGUCGGGUGUGAAAGCCCUCAGCUUAACUGAGGAAGUGCGCCCGAAACUGCAGAGCUUGAAUACCGGAGAGGAUGGCGGAAUUCCCAAGUAGAGGUGAAAUUCGUAGAUAUGGGGAAGGAACACCGGUGGCGAAGGCGGCCAUCUGGACGGCUAUUGACGCUGAGACGCGAAAGCGUGGGGAGCAAACAGGG
rnacentral:rRNA from 1 species